UACGUAGGGGGCAAGCGUUGUCCGGAAUUAUUGGGCGUAAAGAGCUCGUAGGCGGUUUGUCACGUCGGCUGUGAAACCCUGGGGCUCAACCCCGGGCCUGCAGCCGAUACGGGCUGACUAGAAUUCGGUAGGGGAGUCUGGAAUUCCUGGUGUAGCGGUGAAAUGCGCAGAUAUCAGGAGGAACACCGGUGGCGAAGGCGGGACUCUGGGCCGAUAUUGACGCUGAGGAGCGAAAGCGUGGGGAGCGAACAGG
rnacentral:rRNA from 1 species